AUUGAACGCUGGCGGCAGGCCUAACACAUGCAAGUCGAGCGAGCGGCGGACGGGUGAGUAACACGUGGGAACCUACCCAUCAGAGGGGGAUAACACUUGGAAACAGGUGCUAAUACCGCAUACUAUCGGAUGAACCCAUAUGGGAUUAGAUAGUAGGUGGGGUAAAGGCUCACCUAGGCGACGAUCUCUAGCUGGUCUGAGAGGAUGAUCAGCCACACUGGGACUGAGACACGGCCCAGACUCCUACGGGAGGCAGCAGUGGGGAAUAUUGCACAAUGGGCGCAAGCCUGAUGCAGCCAUGCCGCGUGUAUGAAGAAGGCCUUAGGGUUGUAAAGUACUUUCAGCGGGGAGGCGUUACCCGCAGAAGAAGCACCGGCUAACUCCGUGCCAGCAGCCGCGGUAAUAC
rnacentral:rRNA from 1 species